UACGGAGGGUGCAAGCGUUAUCCGGAUUCACUGGGCUUAAAGGGUGCGUAGGUGGGUUGGUAAGUCCGUGGUGAAAUCUCCGAGCUUAACUCGGAAACUGCCGUGGAUACUAUCAAUCUUGAAUACUGUGGAGGUAAGCGGAAUAUGUCAUGUAGCGGUGAAAUGCUUAGAUAUGACAUAGAACACCAAUUGCGAAGGCAGCUGGCUACACAAAUAUUGACACUGAGGCACGAAAGCGUGGGGAUCAAACAGG
rnacentral:rRNA from 1 species